rnacentral:rRNA from 1 species
GAUGAACGCCGGCGGUGUGCCUAGUACAUGCAAGUCGAGCGCACUGGCCCAACAGAAAUGACGUGCUUGCACUGAUUUGACGUUGGAUUCCCAGUGAGCGGCGGACGGGUGAGUAACACGUGGCAACCUGCCCCAAAGCGGGGGAUAACAUUUGGAAACAGGUGCUAAUACCGCAUAACUUGGAAAACCACAUGGUUUUCCAAUAAAAGAUGGUUUCGGCUAUCACUUUGGGAUGGGCCCGCGGUGCAUUAGCUAGUUGGUGAGGUAGCGGCUUACCAAGGCGAUGAUGCAUAGCCGAGUUGAGAGACUGAUCGGCCACAAUGGAACUGAGACACGGUCCAUACUCCUACGGGAGGCAGCAGUAGGGAAUCUUCCACAAUGGGCGCAAGCCUGAUGGAGCAACACCGCGUGAGUGAAGAAGGGUUUCGGCUCGUAAAACUCUGUUGUUGGAGAAGAACGUGCGUAAGAGUAACUGUUUACGCAGUGACGGUAUCCAACCAGAAAGUCACGGCUAACUACGUGCCAGCCGCCGCAGUAA